AAGGUGAACAUCUAUACAGAUUCUAGGUUGGCCGGAAACCUUCCCAAUAGCCAAAGCAAAUGCCAAGAAUACGGCAAAGAAACUGGUCAGUGAACUGAUAUGCAGAUCCUGACUUAAUAGAAGGAACUCACAACUUGCAGCCCAGAGACUGGGUGGUGAUAAAAAGACAUGUGAGAAAAGGACUAGUUCCAAGAUUCGAUGGUCCAUUUCAAGAACUGUUGACCACCCACACCGCUGUAAAGGUUGAAGGAAAACCCAACUGGAUACACGCUUCUCACUGCAAGAAAGUCUUGGAACCACAGGAUGAAGGUCCUUCUGCUGACAGUGGCUCUGACCCUGAGCGUGUCAGCAGUGUUUCAUCCACUGAAUGAUGAAUGGGACAAUGU